UGUGGUGGGUUUGUUCUUUAUUUUAG
rnacentral:piRNA from 1 species